GAAAGAUCGAGGGGUCCUCUGGUCCCUAAGCCUCCGGGCUGUCCGGCUUGCCGGCCAGCCACAUCCGUUAGCGGCUCUUUGUGACACCAACACCACUUCACAGAGGCGGUGAGAACAGGGUUUGAAUUUCAGCUUUCUUGUCACAAGACCCCUAUCCUUUUGACCUGGCUAAAUCUGUUGGUCCAUCAGACCACCCUUCCCCGCCCAGAGGAAACUGAGAUGCAGAGAAGUCAAGUCACUUGCCCGAGGUCAGACAAGCUGGGAAGUGUUAAAGCCGGGGUCAGAUCUGUGCACAGCAUCCCAAUAAGGGAUCAAAUCUGUGUCCCCUGCAGUGGAAGCAUGGAGUUUUAACCAAUGGACUACAAGGGGAAGUCUGCAUUCAAUAAUCUUGAUAAAUGCAUACAUUGUAUCUCACCAGGUAUCAAUGCCAAGUUAUAAUAAGCCCAAAGUCCUUCCCAAGGCUGACAGAACUUUUAUAGUCCAUCUUCACCUCACACCUAAGCAACUCACUGUCUGAGCACCAGCCACCCUUCUGUUCCUUUAGUCCUUCUGUGUGCAUGGCUCAUCUAGUCCAAACUCACGUCCUUGGUGAGAGCAUCC
ensembl:lncRNA